rnacentral:tRNA from 4 species
GCCGGCUUAGCUCAGUGGUAGAGCAGCGGUUUUGUAAACCGUUGGUCGGGGGUUCAAAUCCCUCAGCCGGCACCA